rnacentral:rRNA from 1 species
AGAGUUUGAUCCUGGCUCAGAUUGAACGCUGGCGGCAUGCCUUACACAUGCAAGUCGAACGCGAAAGGGGGCAACCCUGAGUAGAGUGGCGAACGGGUGAGCAAUACAUCGGAACAUUUCCUGUAGCGGGGGACAACCCCGAGAAAUCGGGGCUAAUACCGCAUACGAUCUACGGAUGAAAGUGGGGGACCGCAAGGCCCCACACUAUAGGAGUGGCCGAUGCCGGAUUAGCUAGUUGGUGAGGUAAUGGCCCACCAAGGCGACGAUCCGUAGCUGGUUUGAGAGAACGACCAGCCACACUGGGACUGAGACACGGCCCAGACUCCUACGGGAGGCAGCAGUGGGGAAUUUUGGACAAUGGGCGCAAGCCUGAUCCAGCCAUGCCGCGUGAGUGAAGAAGGCCUUCGGGUUGUAAAG